rnacentral:misc_RNA from 1 species
AUCGGACACCCAAGAACU